rnacentral:SRP_RNA from 2 species
GCUGGGUGUGGUGGCACAUGCCUGUAAUCCCAGCUACUUGGGAGGCUGAGACAGAAGAAUCGCUUGAACCUGGGAGGUGGAGGUUGCAGUGAGCCGAGAUUGCCCCACUGCACUCCAGCCUAGGUGACAGAGCGAGACUCUGUCUCAA